rnacentral:rRNA from 1 species
GACAGAGGGUGCAAACGUUGUUCGGAAUUACUGGGCGUAAAGCGCGUGUAGGCGGCAGGGCAAGUCGGAUGUGAAAGCCCACGGCUCAACCGUGGAAGUGCACCCGAAACUGCCUCGCUAGAGUCUCGGAGAGGAAGGUGGAAUGCUUGGUGUAGAGGUGAAAUUCGUAGAUAUCAAGCGGAACACCGGUGGCGAAGGCGGCCUUCUGGACGAUGACUGACGCUGAGACGCGAAAGCGUGGGGAGCAAGCAGG